rnacentral:lncRNA from 1 species
CCUGUGUGGAUAAAAAAAAAAACAACGCUACGAUCUCCAUUCUUCGCCUGCCUAUUCUCUAAUUUUACACCUGACAAUAAUUCUCAUUCACUACACCGAAAGUGGACGACAUAUUUUUUGUGUUGUAUAAAUGAGGAUGGUGCACAUUCUGUAUGUGUUUGUCCCAAGUCAGGAGCCUGUAAUUCGGUGGUUGUCGUUUUUUGCUGUUUAUCAAAUUUGUUUUUUCGUCUGAAUUGUUUUACAUUUGUCAUUUCGGGGCCUUUUAUAGCUGACUAUGUGAUAUGGGUUUUACUCGUUGAUGAAGGCCGUUCGGUGACCUAUAGUUGUUAAUUUCUGAGUCAUUUUGGUCUCUUGUGGAGCGUUGUCUCAUUGGUAAUCAUACCACAUCGUCUUAGUUUUAUAU